GCAAGUCGAGCGAGAACGGUAUCUUCGGAGACUUAUUAGAGCGGCGGACGGGUGAGUAACACGUGAGUAAUGUGCCUCUUAGUGGGGGAUAACAAUUGGACACGAUUGCUAAUACCGCAUAAGACCACAAAAUCUUCGGAUUUCGGGGUCAAAGCCUUCGGGCGCUAAAAGAUCGACUCGCGGACCAUUAGGUAGUUGGUGAGGUAAUGGCUCACCAAGCCCGAGAUGGGUAGCUGGUCUGAGAGGAUGAUC
rnacentral:rRNA from 1 species